GUGACAAUGACACACAGGUGACAGUGACACACAGGUGACACACAGGUGACAAUGACAAUGACACACAGGUGACAAUGACACACAGGUGACAGUGACACACAGGUGACAGUGACA